rnacentral:rRNA from 1 species
UACGAAGGGGGCUAGCGUUGCUCGGAAUCACUGGGCGUAAAGCGCACGUAGGCGGAUUGUUAAGUCAGGGGUGAAAUCCUGGAGCUCAACUCCAGAACUGCCUUUGAUACUGGCGAUCUCGAGUCCGGGAGAGGUGAGUGGAACUGCGAGUGUAGAGGUGAAAUUCGUAGAUAUUCGCAAGAACACCAGUGGCGAAGGCGGCUCACUGGCCCGGUACUGACGCUGAGGUGCGAAAGCGUGGGGAGUAAACAGG